CUGUCAGGGGAUCGCCAUCCGUCAGCGCGUUGCGCCCACGGAUGCGUUUUGC
rnacentral:sRNA from 1 species